ACCACUUCUUUGGACUCUUGACUAAGAUCAAGUAUAGUACCUAUUUUUAUCAAUUUAUUAUUUCAUACUUCCUCUAUCCAAAGGCAUUGUAUUAAAUAGAUUUUGGAACAGAGAAGUGGAAAAAGAGCUUGCUAUCCACUGUACUCAUCAGCCUACUAUGAAAGUACCUCCAAGAAUGGAGUAUCCAUU